CACACAUCCGUGCUCCCAUUUGCCAAGUCACAGGGACAAGGCAGGGGAGGCAGUCUGAGGUGGGCCAGGUGGGAGGCUGCUCAGCACCAUGAUAACAGGAGACACAAGAGGUGCCAGAUGAAGAAACCAAGGAACAGAAAGUUAAGUGAUUUUUCCCAGUCAUAACUGACCUGGAACUUGGACAAUGCUCUGUCUACCUCAUCACACAACUUCCCCUUCUGCAGCACCCCUCCAAGAUGAUUCUAAAGAACCAACCAGCUCUCACAGGAACUUUAUCAGGUUUAAGCUCUUUGACCACCAUCUUCCUCAACUUCAUGGAGCAGAAGGACAAAAAUCACAGUGCCUCUCUCUGCAAUGAAGCCCUCAGUGAGAAGAGUCAAAAGAAAUGGAGCUGC